GGGAAAUCACAUUGGCAACGCACUGCUGCUGCCUUUUGCCCCACAAGGUGCUUCUCCUGGAGUCGGGCCCUGUGUUGCUCUAGGAGCUCGGCCUGUCCACUGCCGCUGGGAUGUCCUGGCUGGGUGCCCUGUCACAACCUUGGCAGUGUCCCUAGACCUCAGGGACUUGAGCCAUGGCUCUGUCACUCACUCGCUGUGCCUGGGCAUUGCUUUCCUCAUGCACAGACUGGGGGAGACUCCAGCUUCCAGCUCACAGGGUUGCAGUGGAGGUCGAGCCCCUCCUUGCCAGGCUGGGCCAGGUGAACCAGCACUUGGCCUUAAGGAUCCCAAACCUCAGCCCAGUGCAGAGACCUCAGGAAUUUAGAGUUGUGCAAACCAUGUCGUUGGUGGAGGGGGCAGGAAGGAAGUGGUCCCUUAUGGAGCAUCUAGUGCUGUGAAGGCA
rnacentral:lncRNA from 1 species